rnacentral:rRNA from 1 species
CCUACGGGAGGCAGCAGUGAGGAAUAUUGGUCAAUGGACGAGAGUCUGAACCAGCCAAGUAGCGUGAAGGAUGACUGCCCUAUGGGUUGUAAACUUCUUUUAUAUGGGAAUAAAAUGUUCCACGUGUGGGAUUUUGUAUGUACCAUAUGACUAAGGAUAGGCUAACUCCGUGCCAGCAGCCGCGGUAAUACGGAGGAUCCGAGCGUUAUCCGGAUUUAUUGGGUUUAAAGUGAGCGUCGGUGGAUUGUUAAGUCAGUUGGGAAAGUUUGCGGCUCAACCGUAAAAUUGCAGUUGAAACUGGCAGUCUUGAGUACAGUAGAGGUGGGCGGAAUUCGUGGUGUAGCGGUGAAAUGCUUAGAUAUCACGAAGAACUCCGAUUGCGAAGGCAGCUCACUGGACUGCAACUGACACUGAGGCUCGAAAGUGUGGGUAUCAAACAGGAUUAGAUACCCGAGUAGUC